rnacentral:lncRNA from 1 species
GAGGCUGUACUGCUCAUGCUAGACCUGUGCGCGGUCAGCAACGCUGCACUGGCCAGGGUCCUCCGGCAGCUCUCAGACGUGGCCCGACACGCGUGCAGCCUCUUCCAGGAGCUCGAGAGCGACAUCCAGCUUACUCACCGCCGCGUCUGGGCACUUCAGGGCAAGCUCGGCAGCGUGCAGCGCGUCCUCAGCACGUUGGACCCCAAGCAGGAGGCAGUGCACUCCUCUCAAGGUAUUCCAGGGUAA